rnacentral:lncRNA from 1 species
UCAACAUUACCCUCUCUGUUUGCAAUGCUAGUAUCUCCAUCAUUAUAGAGCCUCACAGCCCCUGUUUCUUGUCCUAAAAUAAAGUGGACAAGAAAAAGGGAAACAACAAAAAGACCUCGAGGAUGACCUCCAUCAUAGAUAGUAGACGGGAAGAAUGGACCGAAUCAACCACAUUAAUUUUACUGAAUUAUGCUCACUUCGCCUAGCCGUAGUAUACUUUCCGGUCACGAUAAACACGUGUAGUGUUAAAAGAUGGAUUCUCGAGUGGAUUGUUUCUUCUUUUUUUUUUUUACCGAACUAUUAAUCGAGAAUAUCGAAGGUGAAAGAGCAGCUUUGAUGAGAGAGACUGCUUCAUUUCUACUUAAUAGUAGUUACUACGUUUUCUUCAAGAAGUGGUUGCCCUCUUCUCCUUCUACAGCACAUGGUGAUAAUUCUAAUGCAGACACGAGUAAUAAAAUAAAGAUAAAGGGUAAGGAUCAAAACCAGUGCAGUCACUGCAAGUUGACCAGGAUAUAAAUCUAAUAAUAAAUAAUGCAAAACAGCAAAUUAUUACUAUAAUUGUAUUACACUUACUUAUAGGGGAACAGGCUUCUAUUUUAUUGCCAUGAUUUGAAGCAGUACCUUCAUAUUCUGUACAACAAUUAUAAAUCUAACUUUA